AUAUACAUUAUUAUUCCUUUACUAUUCCCAAACGAUCUCAUCAAAAACACGAAAAAUUCUUAUGUGAAUCUUCCAAACCCUAGGCAUAUCUGACCCGAAAGACCUUGCACCAUACGUUAUUAAGAUCACCUUCGAUAUGAUUGUUUCAAUCUUAAAUCCAUUCUUGGCCCUUGGAUUGGUGGCCACCGGACAAUCGGAUUUUUUUGGCUCAAUCCCGUACGCAUCCCGGUUCAUUCCAAUAAAUCACAGUCAUUACUUGAAAGGAGCAUCCGUCUUUCCACCGGCGUUUUUUUUCCUGAUUUAUUCACAAAUAGGGACGAUGUUGCCAUUCGGUACCGAAACCACUUCUCCUUCAGAUUCAUGAAGGGCUUCGCUUAAAGACUCUGUGACUAUUUAUCAAGUCUUCGUUGAUUGGGAGCUCCAGCCUUUGAUAGCGGUUCUAGACCAAAAUAUUUGGAGAUGAGACUUCCUUUUCAUCAAAUUGCGACGGGAAAUUGGGAUUUUAACGCUUCUAAAAGCAUAAAAUGAAAUUUUGAGGUUGGUUGAUGUCCUAGCAAUCUGGGCUUGUCCAAUGGUAGUCAGAUAAUGUUUUUUAAAUAGGACAUCCCUGAACAUAUCCUGGAGUUAAAAUUUAUUGCUUCAUUUUGGUCCUACUUUUCGAGUGGAAGCCCAUGAGCUUGAAAUUUGUCCCCCAUAAAUGUUCAGCGUUCUCACAUAUUUUAAUAGUUCGUUUGGUCCCAUAGCUAUUCUAUUUUCAAAGAGUCACGUGAGAUUCAAGCUUUCCCAUACCCUUUCAAUAUUCAAGGAAUUCCUCAUGUAUCUUGUAUACCUCUGAAGCAGUAAACACGAGAAUGGAGUAUACCUUAUUAGAUGGUUAGUUUUAGGAAGUAUAUUUUGGUUCCACGCAAUGAUUCUUAAAGAUUUAUAGUGGAUACUUCACCAUUUUUCGAAAUAUACAUGCCUAGAAGAGUUGUAUGAGGUUUUAUAAUCAUAUCUUGGAAUUUUGUUUUUAACCAUGGAGUCCAAUGAAGUUAUAACCUGAGUCUUUUCUAUAUUUAUUUGGAGUCCAUAUUCGACCUCAAAUUCUUUUAAUAUGGUCAAUAUUCCUGUUAAUUACCUGAGUAUAUAAUGGAAAGGUCGUCAGCGUAUAAGAGAGACAACAGAACCUUGUCCCAAACGAUUGUAGUGUCUCUUAACACAUAUCUUGCGUGCCCGAUUCCAUAACGGAUUUAUUCCCAUGUUAAACAAGGAUGGUAAAGUCACGUUUCCUUGUUUACAGCCCCUUGAGAUAUCAAAUUCUCCAUGUAGACCAGGAGCUUUGUACUGUUGGAGUUGUUUUAUAAGGAACUCGUGAGAUAUGGAGUCGAAGGAUUUUUCGAAAUUAAACUGUAAGAUAGCGAAAUCAUCUCCCUUUUGUGUUAUGGUAUCUAUGGCGUCUUGGAUAGAACGAGGAAUGUCUUCCGCGUAUUUUCCUUUCAUAAGCCCUUUUUACUCAAUUGGUUUGUUGAAUUCCAACGUUUCCUCCAGUCGGUUGUUCAGGAGACCGUGAGAAUUUUGUAUGUCGUGUUGAGCAACGUAAUGGCCCUUUAGUUUGAUAUAUUAGGAAUAUCUUUUCCUUUUUUUAAGAAUAUAAGGAAGCAUAGAUUAAUUUUGGAACUUUCAGGAAAGUAUGGGUAAAACUAGCUUAAAAUAAACUAUUUAAAUUUUUAUUUACUAUCAUAGGUGGAAAAAAGUCGUUAUACUGCAAAAUCAAGUUGAUUCUAGUUUCUUACCCUGAAGUCAAAGUUCUUGAAUGUUCUCAUCCGAGACCAUUUCAAUUUUUCAAAAAUUAAGAGAUACUUUAGAGAGCACUUUAUUUCUAGUGAAA
rnacentral:lncRNA from 1 species